rnacentral:tRNA from 1 species
UAGCCUAGUGGUGGUUAAGGCUAUGGAUCGCCAAUCCGGAGACGGCGGGUUCGAUUCCCGU